CCUACGGGAGGCUGCAGUGAGGAAUAUUGGUCAAUGGACGAGAGUCUGAACCAGCCAAGUAGCGUGAAUGAUGACUGCCCUACGGGUUGUAAACUUCUUUUAUAAAGGAAUAAAGUGAGGCACGUGUGCCUUUUUGUAUGUACUUUAUGAAUAAGGAUCGGCUAACUCCGUGCCAGCAGCCGCGGUAAUACGGAGGAUCCGAGCGUUAUCCGGAUUUAUUGGGUUUAAAGGGAGCGUAGAUGGGUUGUUAAGUCAGUUGUGAAAGUUUGCGGCUCAACCGUAGAAUUGCAUUUGAUACUGGCAGUCUUGAGUACAGUUGAGGGAGGCGGAAUUCGUGGUGUAGCGGUGAAAUGCUUAGAUAUCACGAAGAACUCCGAUUGCGAAGGCAGCUUACUAAACUGCCACUGACGUUGAUGCUCGAAAGUGUGGGUAUCAAACAGGAUUAGAUACCCGGGUAGUC
rnacentral:rRNA from 1 species